GACGAACGCUGGCGGCGUGCUUAACACAUGCAAGUCGAACGGAAAGGCCCUGCUUUUGUGGGGUGCUCGAGUGGCGAACGGGUGAGUAACACGUGAGUAACCUGCCCUUGACUUUGGGAUAACUUCAGGGAACUGGGGCGAAUACCGGAUAGGAGCUCCUGCUGCAUGGGGGGGGUGGUAAAGUUUCGGCGUUUGGGGAUGGACUCGCGGCUUAUCAGCGUGUUGGUGGGGUAGUGGCGUACCAAGGCUUUGACGGGUAGCCGGCCUGAGAGGGUGACCGGCCACAUUGGGACUGAGAUACGGCCCAGACUCCUACGGGAGGAAGCAGUGGGGAAUAUUGCACAAUGGGCGGAAGCCGGAUGCAGCAACGCCGCGAGCGGGAUGACGGCCUUCGGGUUGUAAACCGCUUUCGCCUGUGACGAAGCGUGAGUGACGGUAAUGGGUAAAGAAGCACCGGCUAACUACGUG
rnacentral:rRNA from 1 species